AGCCAUAUGCCUUCAGAAUUAACUUAGAUUCUACAUAAUUAAGGCAUAUGCCUUCAGAAUUAACUUAGACCCUACAUAAUUAAGGUAUACGCAUUUACAAUUAACUUAGAUGCUAUGGAAUUAAGGGAUAUACUUCAUAAUUAACAUAGAACCUAUAUAAUUUAGGCAGAUACCUUCAGAAUUAACUUAGAUGCUAUGGAAUUAAGGCAUAUGCCUUCAGAAUUAACAUAGAUUCUACAUAAUUAAGCAUAUGCUUGCAUAAUUAACUUAGAUCCUAUGGAAUUAAGGCAUAUGCCUUCAGAAUUAACUCAGACCCCACAUAAUUAAGGCAUACGCCUUCAGAAUUAACUGAGAUCCUAUGGAAUUAAUGCAAAUGCCUUCAGACUUAACUUACAACAUACGUAAUUAAGGCAUAUGCCUUGAGAAUUAACUUAGAUCUUAUGGAAUUAAGGCAUAUGCCAUCAGAAUUAACUUAGACCCUACAUAACUAAGGCCUAUACCUUCAGAAUAAAGUUUAAUCCCAUGGAAUUAAGGCAUAUAACUUCACAAUUAACUUAGAUACUACAUAAUUCAGGCAUAUGCCUUCAGAACUAACUCAGACCCUAUGGAAUUAAAGGCAUAUGCCUUCACAAUUAACUUAGAUACUAUGAAAAUAAGGCAUAUGCCUCCAGAAUUAACUUAGAUUCUACAUAAUUCAGGCAUAUGCCUUCAGAAUUAACUUAGAUCCCAUGGAAUUAAGGCAUAUGCCUUCACAAUUAUCUUAGAUCCGUGGCAAUUAAUGGCAUAUGGCUACAGAAUUAACUUAGACGCUACAUAAUUAAGGCAUAUGCCUUCAGAGUUAACUUAGAUGCUAUGGAAUUAAGGCAUAUUCGCUGAGAAUUAACUUAGAUCCUUUGUAAUUAAAGCCAUAUACCUUCAUAAUUAAAUUAGAGCCUACGGAUGUAAGGCAUAUGCCUUCAGAAUUAACUUAAAUGCAACUUAAUUAAGGCAUAGUCCCUCAGAAUUAACUUAGAUCCAAUGCAAUUAAGGCAUAUGCUUUCAUAAUUAACUUAGAUCCCACAUAAAAUAGGCUUAUGCCUUCUUAAUUAACUUAGAUCCUAUGGAAUGAAAGGCAUAUGCCUUCAGAAUUAACUCAGAUCCGAUAGAAUGAAGGUAUAUACCUUCAGAAUUAACUUAGACCCUACAUAGUCAAGUAAUAUGCCUUCAAAAUGAACUUAGACCCUACAUAAUUAAGGCAUAUUCGUUAAGAAUUAACUUAGAACCUAUAUAAUUAAGUCAUAUGCCUUCACAAUUAACUGAGACGCUAUGGAAUUAAGCCAUAUACCUUCAGAAUUAACUGAGACCCCAUGGAAUUAAGGCAUAAGCCUUCAGAAUUAACUCAGAUCCUACGGAAUUAAAGGCAUAUAGAUUCAGAAUUAAAUUAGAGCCUAUUGAAUUAAGGCAUAUGUCUUCAGAAUUAACUUAGAUCCUAUGCAAUUAGUGGUUUAUACCUUCAGAAUAAACAUAGAACCUAUAUAAUUAAGGCAUACACCAUCAGAAUUAACUCCGAUCCUAUGGAAUUAAACGCAUUUACCUUCAGAUUUAAACAACAUCCUAUGGAUUAAGCCAUAUGCCUUCAGAAUUAACUUAGACCCUACAUAAUUAAGGUAUACGCAUUUACAAUUAACUUAGAUGCUAUGGAAUUAAGGGAUAUACUUCAUAAUUAACAUAGAACCUAUAUAAUUUAGGCAGAUACCUUCAGAAUUAACUUAGAUGCUAUGGAAUUAAGGCAUAUGCCUUCAGAAUUAACAUAGAUUCUACAUAAUUAAGCAUAUGCUUGCAUAAUUAACUUAGAUCCUAUGGAAUUAAGGCAUAUGCCUUCAGAAUUAACUCAGACCCCACAUAAUUAAGGCAUACGCCUUCAGAAUUAACUGAGAUCCUAUGGAAUUAAUGCAAAUGCCUUCAGACUUAACUUACAACAUACGAAAUUAAGGCAUAUGCCUUGAGAAUUAACUUAGAUCUUAUGGAAUUAAGGCAUAUGCCAUCAGAAUUAACUUAGACCCUACAUAACUAAGGCCUAUACCUUCAGAAUAAAGUUUAAUCCCAUGGAAUUAAGGCAUAUAACUUCACAAUUAACUUAGAUACUACAUAAUUCAGGCAUAUGCCUUCAGAACUAACUCAGACCCUAUGGAAUUAAAGGCAUAUGCCUUCACAAUUAACUUAGAUACUAUGAAAAUAAGGCAUAUGCCUCCAGAAUUAACUUAGAUUCUACAUAAUUCAGGCAUAUGCCUUCAGAAUUAACUUAGAUCCCAUGGAAUUAAGGCAUAUGCCUUCACAAUUAUCUUAGAUCCGUGGCAAUUAAUGGCAUAUGGCUACAGAAUUAACUUAGACGCUACAUAAUUAAGGCAUAUGCCUUCAGAGUUAACUUAGAUGCUAUGGAAUUAAGGCAUAUUCGCUGAGAAUUAACUUAGAUCCUUUGUAAUUAAAGCCAUAUACCUUCAUAAUUAAAUUAGAGCCUACGGAUGUAAGGCAUAUGCCUUCAGAAUUAACUUAAAUGCAACUUAAUUAAGGCAUAGUCCCUCAGAAUUAACUUAGAUCCAAUGCAAUUAAGGCAUAUGCUUUCAUAAUUAACUUAGAUCCCACAUAAAAUAGGCUUAUGCCUUCUUAAUUAACUUAGAUCCUAUGGAAUGAAAGGCAUAUGCCUUCAGAAUUAACUCAGAUCCGAUAGAAUGAAGGUAUAUACCUUCAGAAUUAACUUAGACCCUACAUAGUCAAGUAAUAUGCCUUCUAAAUGAACUUAGACCCUACAUAAUUAAGGCAUAUUCGUUAAGAAUUAACUUAGAACCUAUAUAAUUAAGUCAUAUGCCUUCACAAUUAACUGAGACGCUAUGGAAUUAAGCCAUAUACCUUCAGAAUUAACUGAGACCCCAUGGAAUUAAGGCAUAUGCCUUCACAAUUAACUUAGACCCUGCAUAACUAAAGCAUAUGCCUUCAGAAUUAAGUUAGAUCUAAUGGAAUUAUGGCAUAUGACUUCAGAAUUAACUUAAACCCUACAUAAUUAAGGCAUAUGCCUUCACAAUUAACUUAGAUCCCAUGGAAUUAAGGCAUAAGCCUUCAGAAUUAACUCAGAUCCUACGGAAUUAAAGGCAUAUAGAUUCAGAAUUAAAUUAGAGCCUAUUGAAUUAAGGCAUAUGUCUUCAGAAUUAACUUAGAUCCUAUGCAAUUAGUGGUUUAUACCUUCAGAAUAAACAUAGAACCUAUAUAAUUAAGGCAUACACCAUCAGAAUUAACUCCGAUCCUAUGGAAUUAAACGCAUUUACCUUCAGAUUUAAACAACAUCCUAUGGAUUAAGCCAUAUGCCUUCAGAAUUAACUUAGACCCUACAUAAUUAAGGUAUACGCAUUUACAAUUAACUUAGAUGCUAUGGAAUUAAGGGAUAUACUUCAUAAUUAACAUAGAACCUAUAUAAUUUAGGCAGAUACCUUCAGAAUUAACUUAGAUGCUAUGGAAUUAAGGCAUAUGCCUUCAGAAUUAACUCAGACCCCACAUAAUUAAGGCAUACGCCUUCAGAAUUAACUGAGAUCCUAUGGAAUUAAUGCAAAUGCCUUCAGACUUAACUUACAACAUACGUAAUUAAGGCAUAUGCCUUGAGAAUUAACUUAGAUCUUAUGGAAUUAAGGCAUAUGCCAUCAGAAUUAACUUAGACCCUACAUAACUAAGGCCUAUACCUUCAGAAUAAAGUUUAAUCCCAUGGAAUUAAGGCAUAUAACUUCACAAUUAACUUAGAUACUACAUAAUUCAGGCAUAUGCCUUCAGAACUAACUCAGACCCUAUGGAAUUAAAGGCAUAUGCCUUCACAAUUAACUUAGAUACUAUGAAAAUAAGGCAUAUGCCUCCAGAAUUAACUUAGAUUCUACAUAAUUCAGGCAUAUGCCUUCAGAAUUAACUUAGAUCCCAUGGAAUUAAGGCAUAUGCCUUCACAAUUAUCUUAGAUCCGUGGCAAUUAAUGGCAUAUGGCUACAGAAUUAACUUAGACGCUACAUAAUUAAGGCAUAUGCCUUCAGAGUUAACUUAGAUGCUAUGGAAUUAAGGCAUAUUCGCUGAGAAUUAACUUAGAUCCUUUGUAAUUAAAGCCAUAUACCUUCAUAAUUAAAUUAGAGCCUACGGAUGUAAGGCAUAUGCCUUCAGAAUUAACUUAAAUGCAACUUAAUUAAGGCAUAGUCCCUCAGAAUUAACUUAGAUCCAAUGCAAUUAAGGCAUAUGCUUUCAUAAUUAACUUAGAUCCCACAUAAAAUAGGCUUAUGCCUUCUUAAUUAACUUAGAUCCUAUGGAAUGAAAGGCAUAUGCCUUCAGAAUUAACUCAGAUCCGAUAGAAUGAAGGUAUAUACCUUCAGAAUUA